ensembl:snRNA U6 U6 spliceosomal RNA
GUGCUCGCUUCGGCAGCACAUAUACUAAAAGAGAUUAGCAUGGCCCCUGCACAAGGAUGACACACAAAUUUGUGAAGCGUUCCAUAUUUUU